UGAGAGGCGCGGGUAACCCGCUGAACCCCGCUCGUGAUCGGGAAUGGGGAUUGAAACAAUUUCCCAUCAACGAGGAAUUCCCUGUAAGCGCGGGUCAUAAGCUCGCGUUGAUUAAGUCCCUGCCCUUUGUACACACCGCCCCCCCGGACAUCUAAGGGCAUCACAGACCUGUUAUUGCUCCAUCUUGCUUGGCUGAAUGCCACUUGUCCCUCUAAGAAGUUGAACGCCGACCGCACGGGGCCACAUAACUAUUUA